AUUGAACGCUGGCGGCAGGCCUAACACAUGCAAGUCGAACGAGUGGCGGACGGGUGAGUAAUGUCUGGGAAACUGCCUGAUGGAGGGGGAUAACUACUGGAAACGGUAGCUAAUACCGCAUACCAUCAGAUGUGCCCAGAUGGGAUUAGCUUGUUGGUGGGGUAACGGCUCACCAAGGCGACGAUCCCUAGCUGGUCUGAGAGGAUGACCAGCCACACUGGAAAUGAGAACCGGUCCAGACUCCAACGGGAGGCAGAAGUGGGGAAUAUUGCACAAUGGGAGCAAGCCUGAUACAGCAAUGCGGCGUGUAUGAAGAAGGCCUUCGGGGUGGAAAGUACUUUCAGCGGGGAGGCGUUACCCGAAGAAGAAGCACCGGCUAACGCCGUGCCAGCAGCCGCGGUAAUAC
rnacentral:rRNA from 1 species